UACAGAGGUCUCAAGCGUUGUUCGGAUUCAUUGGGCGUAAAGGGUGCGUAGGCGGCGCGGUAAGUCGGGUGUGAAAUCUCGGAGCUUAACUCCGAAACUGCAUUCGAUACUGCCGUGCUUGAGGACUGGAGAGGAGACUGGAAUUUACGGUGUAGCGGUGAAAUGCGUAGAUAUCGUAAGGAAGACCAGUGGCGAAGGCGGCGACCUGGACAGAUAUUGACGCUGAGGUGCGAAAGCGUGGGGGAGCAAACAGG
rnacentral:rRNA from 1 species